GAUGAACGCUGGCGGCGUGCCUAAUACAUGCAAGUCGAGCGAACAGAUGAGGAGCUUGCUCCUCUGACGUUAGCGGCGGACGGGUGAGUAACACGUGGAUAACCUACCUAUAAGACUGGGAUAACUUCGGGAAACCGGAGCUAAUACCGGAUAAUAUAUUGAACCGCAUGGUUCAAUAGUGAAAGACGGUCUUGCUGUCACUUAUAGAUGGAUCCGCGCCGCAUUAGCUAGUUGGUAAGGUAACGGCUUACCAAGGCAACGAUGCGUAGCCGACCUGAGAGGGUGAUCGGCCACACUGGAACUGAGACACGGUCCAGACUCCUACGGGAGGCAGCAGUAGGGAAUCUUCCGCAAUGGGCGAAAGCCUGACGGAGCAACGCCGCGUGAGUGAUGAAGGUCUUCGGAUCGUAAAACUCUGUUAUUAGGGAAGAACAAAUGUGUAAGUAACUGUGCACGUCUUGACGGUACCUAAUCAGAAAGCCACGGCUAACUACGUG
rnacentral:rRNA from 1 species